AACUUCGAGUUCCAUCCCCCUUGGGUCUGUGGCCUGGUGGGGUGGGAUUUGGACUUGGGUGCUUGCCAGACCCUGGCUCACCUCAAAUGACUUAGUGGGGAUCGGUGGCCCAUGGCUUGACGUGAUAAGUUUCGUCUGGCUUGGCCAUGUGAUGCCUGCUCACAACCCCCAUCACCUUUUGG
rnacentral:misc_RNA from 1 species